CGAUAGCUAAUACCGCAUAACAGUAUGUAACACAUGUUAGAUGCUUGAAAAGAUGCAAUUGCAUCGCUAGUAGAUGGACCUGCGUUGUAUUAGCUAGUAGGUAGGUAAUGGCCUACCUAGGCAACGAUACAUAGCCCCGACCCUGAGAGGGUGAUCGGCCACACUGGGACUGAGACACGGCCCAGACUCCUACGGGAGGCAGCAGUAGGGGAAUCUUCGGCAAGUGGGGGGAACCCUGACCGAGCAACGCCGCGUGAGUGAAGAAGUUUUCGGAUCGUAAAGCUCUGUUGUUAAGGAAGAACGAGUGUGAGAAUGGAAAGUUCAUGCUGUGACGGUACUUAACCAGAAAGGGACGGCUAACUACGUGCCAGCAGCCGCGGUAAU
rnacentral:rRNA from 1 species